rnacentral:lncRNA from 10 species
CCCUUCCCUUGGACUUCCAAAAGGAAUAAUUUUACUCUCUCCUCCGUUCUCCCCACAACUCUCAUCCCCGCUAGCCCGCAGGCCGCCUGCCCCUUUCCGCACCUCCUUUUCCCAUCCAGCGAGAGAAACCUAGCUCCCAGAGCCGGUGCAGUCAGUCCCCUCGCCCCUCCCGCCCCUGCACGGGUCCCCCUCUAGCCGUCGCUGCAACCACCACCUCGGUUCCACUCAACCGAUUUUUGCUGCAUGUCAACACUUAUUACCGAUCACUCAUUCUGGGAGAAGACAACCGUCAUAUCAUGUCAUGAAGAUACUCAUGCAGUCCUAUGGAGAAUUUCAUUGGUAAGAAACUGAGCUAGAAUGAACUUGACAGCCUUGUGAGAGAGCCAUCUUAGAAGCAGACCUUCAGCCUCAGACAGCUUUCAGAGGAUUGUAGCCCCAGCUGAAACAUCAACCACAAUCUCAUGAGAGACACUGAACCAGAAUCACCCAGCCAAGCUGUUCCCAAAUUCCUGAGCCAUAGAAACUGUGUGAGAUAAUAAAUGUUUAUUGUUGUUCU